rnacentral:sRNA from 1 species
UUUAACUCUUACUUACACACUAUUACUUUAAACACAAUGAAUGAUCUUAAUCAUAUCGCUAUAUUAGCAAUCAAGGAAUACGGUGCAACACUGACCUAAAGCCUAACUCUUUACCGAAGCUGUGCAAGCAGAUUCGUUGUUCUACGCAAUGAUCACCCCAAUCAUUGCGUAUUUUUUUGUCCAAAAUUCGUG